AUUCUGCCCAUGCGGGGAAGGAUGAGAAGCCUCGACCAAGGUUCGACUCGAGCGCCAGCGAGAGAGCGUUGCCGCAGGCAACGACCCGAAGGGCGAAGCGCGCAGCAUUGAGUAAUCCUUCCCCCACCACCA
rnacentral:sRNA from 1 species